UCUUACACCCGCCUAAAUAGGCG
rnacentral:snRNA from 1 species